AGGAUUCGCAUCCUCGUACCUACGUAUUCUCAUUAUGCAAUGAGAAAAUCAGAGCAAUCGUAGUUCGUGGCACCACGAGAAUAGAAAGAGAUAUAUAGUGAUAAAUAGUAUGACUUGUACCAACAGAAUGGUAUCAAAAAACCACAAACGGAUGGAACUUGGAAUCAAAGAGUAAACAAGCCACUCAACCAAAGGAAUGAAUUAAAUGUCUGGGUAC
rnacentral:lncRNA from 1 species